AACCUUGUGCUGUGGCAAUAUCAUAACCAAUGAAAGCAUCCUAAGGUGCGAAUAUUGCUAGUUGGAAAUUCUUUCGCUUGGUCAUUGACUGUAUCGACCAAGUGGUUUCUACCAUUAUCGUAUUUAGAACUUAGUAAUUUGUUAAAAUAAAUAUAUAUU
rnacentral:snRNA from 1 species